UACGUAGGGUGCAAGCGUUGUCCGGAAUUAUUGGGCGUAAAGAGCUCGUAGGCGGUUUGUCGCGUCUGCUGUGAAAACCCGAGGCUCAACUGCGGGCCUGCAGCCGAUACGGGCAGGCUAGAGUUCGGUAGGGGAGACUGGAAUUCCUGGUGUAGCGGUGAAAUGCGCAGAUAUCAGGAGGAACACCUAUGGCGAAGGCAGCUCGCUGGGACGUUACUGACGCUGAGACGCGAAAGCGUGGGGAGCAAACAGG
rnacentral:rRNA from 1 species